AUGAACGCUAGCUACAGGCUUAACACAUGCAAGUCGAGGGGCAGCAUGGUCUUAGCUUGCUAAGGCCGAUGGCGACCGGCGCACGGGUGAGUAACGCGUAUCCAACCUGCCUUACACUCUUGGACAGCCUUCUGAAAGGGAGAUUAAUACAAGAUGUUAUCAUGAGUAAGCAUUUUCGCAUGAUUAAAGGUUUACCGGUGUAAGAUGGGGAUGCGUUCCAUUAGAUAGUAGGCGGGGUAACGGCCCACCUAGUCUUCGAUGGAUAGGGGUUCUGAGAGGAAGGUCCCCCACAUUGGAACUGAGACACGGUCCAAACUCCUACGGGAGGCAGCAGUGAGGAAUAUUGGUCAAUGGACGAGAGUCUGAACCAGCCAAGUAGCGUGAAGGAUGAAGGUUCUAUGGAUUGUAAACUUCUUUUAUACGGGAAUAAACGGAUCCACGUGUGGAUUUUUGCAUGUACCGUAUGAAUAAGGAUCGGCUAACUCCGUGCCAGCAGCCGCGGUAAUACGGAGGAUCCGAGCGUUAUCCGGAUUUAUUGGGUUUAAAGGGAGCGUAGAUGGGUUGUUAAGUCAGUUGUGAAAGUUUGCGGCUCAACCGUAAAAUUGCAAUUGAUACUGGCAGUCUUGAGUACAGUUGAGGUAGGCGGAAUUCGUGGUGUAGCGGUGAAAUGCUUAGAUAUCACGAAGAACUCCGAUUGCGAAGGCAGCUUACUAACCUGUAACUGACAUUGAUGCUCGAAAGUGUGGGUAUCAAACAGGAUUAGAUACCCUGGUAGUCCACACGGUAAACGAUGAAUACUCGCUGUAGGCGAUAUACAGUCUGCGGCCAAGCGAAAGCAUUAAGUAUUCCACCUGGGGAGUACGCCGGCAACGGUGAAACUCAAAGGAAUUGACGGGGGCCCGCACAAGCAGCGGAGCAUGUGGUUUAAUUCGACGCAACGCGAAGAACCUUACCAGGUCUUGACAUCCUUCUGACCGCACCUUAAUCGGUGCUUUCCUUCGGGACAGAAGAGACAGGUGGUGCAUGGUUGUCGUCAGCUCGUGCCGUGAGGUGUCGGCUUAAGUGCCAUAACGAGCGCAACCCUUGCCGAUAGUUACUAACAGGUCAUGCUGAGGACUCUGUCGGGACUGCCAUCGUAAGAUGUGAGGAAGGUGGGGAUGACGUCAAAUCAGCACGGCCCUUACGUCCGGGGCUACACACGUGUUACAAUGGGGGGUACAGAGGGCUGCUACCACGCAAGUGGAUGCCAAUCCCAAAAACCUCUCUCAGUUCGGAUUGAAGUCUGCAACCCGACUUCAUGAAGCUGGAUUCGCUAGUAAUCGCGCAUCAGCCACGCCGCGGUGAAUACGUUCCCGGGCCUUGUACACACCGCCCGUCAAGCCAUGGGAGCCGGGGGUACCUGAAGUGCGUAACCGCAAGGAGCGCCCUAGGGUAAAACUGGUGACUGGGGCU
rnacentral:rRNA from 1 species